CAGCAGAUAAUUUAAUUAAAAAUGCUAACUUUGGGAGUUAAAAUUCGAGGAUUCUCGUCAGCUGA
rnacentral:tRNA from 1 species